UACGAAGGGUGCAAGCGUUAAUCGGAAUUACUGGGCGUAAAGCGCGCGUAGGUGGUUCAGCAAGUUGGAUGUGAAAGCCCUGGGCUCAACCUGGGAACUGCAUCCAAAACUACUGAGCUAGAGUACGGUAGAGGGUAGUGGAAUUUCCUGUGUAGCGGUGAAAUGCGUAGAUAUAGGGAAGAACACCGGUGGCGUAGGCGACUAGCUGGGCUGUAACUGACGCUGAGGAACGAAAGCCAGGGGAGCGAAUGGGAUUAGAAACCCCGGUAGUCCCUGAGACUGCCAACAAGGCACACAGGGGGA
rnacentral:rRNA from 1 species